rnacentral:rRNA from 2 species
UCACCUGGUUGAUCCUGCCAGUAGUCAUAUGC